rnacentral:lncRNA from 1 species
UAUCCCCGUGAGCCAUGCUGACUGCUUGUGAUAAAUUUCCAUCUGUGCAAGUUUCCUGUGCCCUGUACACAUCUCAUUACCAUCCCUUUUUCACUUGAUCUUCAUGACUUGAUUCAAAACACUCAGAUGCACACCCUGAUUCCUGAGUUUCCAUAGUUCAGGUGAAUUUCUUGAAAGUCUUUUACCCAGUAUUUCUAGCUCUUUCAGCAUUCUAUAGCUAGCACCAUGUUUGACAAAGGAAUAAAUAUAAAUAUGUUUCUUAGAGUUUAGUCAGUUUUUUCCUCCAAUACUAAUAAAUGCUUAUUCUUUACUGG